rnacentral:rRNA from 1 species
GUGGGGAAUAUUGGACAAUGGGCGCAAGCCUGAUCCAGCCAUGCCGCGUGUGUGAUGAAGGCCUUCGGGUUGUAAAGCACUUUCAGGGGUGAAGAAAAGCACUUGGUCAAUACCCGGGUGUCUUGACGUUAACCCCAGAAGAAGCACCGGCUAACUCCGUGCCAGCAGCCGCGGUAAUACGGAGGGUGCGAACGUUAAUCGGAAUUACUGGGCGUAAAGCGCGCGUAGGCGGCUCGUCAAGUGGGAUGUGAAAGCCCUGGGCUCAACCUGGGAAUUGCAUUCCAAACUGACGGGCUAGAGUACGGUAGAGGGAGGUGGAAUUUAGGGUGUAGCGGUGAAAUGCGUAGAUAUCCUAAGGAACACCAGUGGCGAAGGCGGCCUCCUGGACCGAUACUGACGCUGAGGUGCGAAAGCGUGGGGAGCAAACAGG